CAGGGGAGGAGCGGAAGAUCCCUGGGGUGAGAGCUCACGGGGCCCUGGGGUGGCCCUGGAGUGACCCUGGGACGGGGAGUGGAGGAGCCCUGGCUGAGAGAACCCCCGGGUCCAGGGCGCAGGAGCUGGGGCUGGGCGAAGGUUGCCUGCCCCAUGGAAGGUCUGAGUCUGCUCCUGCUCUGGGCUCCACCAGUGUCCACUCCACUAGAGGACAGAGACUAGCUGCCCUUGCCGUUGCCAUGCUGGGGAGCUAACACAGGCUCCUGGGUGCUAGCAGGCGCUUUACCAUCCACCCCACCCCCAGUCCCAAGACAGCUGCCCUUGGCCUUGAGGUUUGCACAGUGCAGUCCUUAUCUGUGUGGCUGACCCUCUGAUCUGCCCCUGUGUGCUCAUUGGCCUCUCUGUCCUGUCCCCCUGCGGUGGCCUUGUGCCAUCUGAGUUGCUCCUGGGCCCUGGGUGUGGAGCCCGUGGUAGCCAUUGGUGCUCAUUGUCUCCUUGGUGGUCACCUACAUGAGUCACCCGGGUGCCUGAGGCAGUCACGAGUUUGUGAGCCUGGGGGCUGCUCCCCUGCGUCAGGCUGCAGCUGUGGUGGCCUGGAGCUCUGAGGACCCAUGUACCUGAGUUCCCAUUUCCAGGUGCUGCUACAGAUGCUCCCUUCCUGACCAGGGCCCUCUCAGGAGGGCGCCUUGGGCAGCCUGUGUCCUGCACAUGUGACUAGGGCAGAUCCCUUGCUCUUGUG
rnacentral:lncRNA from 1 species